rnacentral:rRNA from 1 species
GCAUACGUCCUACGGGAGAAGAGGGCCUCUGCUUGCAAGCUCUCACUUCAGGAUGAGCCACGUCCGAUUAGCUAGUUGGUAGGGUAAAGGCCUACCAAGGCCACGAUCGGUAGCUGGUCUGAGAGGAUGAUCAGCCACACUGGGACUGAGACACGGCCCAGACUCCUACGGGAGGCAGCAGUGGGGAAUAUUGGACAAUGGGCGCAAGCCUGAUCCAGCAAUGCCGCGUGUGUGAAGAAGGCCUGCGGGUUGUAAAGCACUUUCAGUGGGGAAGAACAGGUUCGGGUCAAUACCCCGGAGCCCUGACGUUACCCACAGAAGAAGCACCGGCUAACUCCGUG